CCCCUCUCAGGAUCGCACCUAGAGUUUCCAGUACUCUACCAGUCUUGGCUAAGGGAGGGAGAAUCAAGCAGAGUCAUACCCAUUCCAUUCCUAGCUUGGGUAGUGGCUAGCGAGUGGAAGGCCAUCUGCUACAAGU
rnacentral:snoRNA from 1 species